rnacentral:rRNA from 1 species
GAUGAACGCUGGCGGCGUGCCUAAUACAUGCAAGUCGAGCGAAUGGAUUAAGAGCUUGCUCUUAUGAAGUUAGCGGCGGACGGGUGAGUAACACGUGGGUAACCUGCCCAUAAGACUGGGAUAACUCCGGGAAACCGGGGCUAAUACCGGAUAACAUUUUGAACCGCAUGGUUCGAAAUUGAAAGGCGGCUUCGGCUGUCACUUAUGGAUGGACCCGCGUCGCAUUAGCUAGUUGGUGAGGUAACGGCUCACCAAGGCAACGAUGCGUAGCCGACCUGAGAGGGUGAUCGGCCAAACUGGGACUGGGACACGGCCCAGACUCGUACGGGAGGCAGCAGUAGGGAACCUUCCGCAAUGGACGAAAGUCUGACGGAGCAACGCCGCGUGAGUGAUGAAGGCUUUCGGGUCGUAAAACUCUGUUGUUAGGGAAGAACAAGUGCUAGUUGAAUAAGCUGGCACCUUGACGGUACCUAACCAGAAAGCCACGGCUAACUACGUGCCAGCCGCCGCCGUAA